rnacentral:rRNA from 1 species
UUGAACGCUGGCGGCAUGCCUUACACAUGCAAGUCGAACGGUAGAGUAGCAAUACUCGAGAGUGGCGAACGGGUGAGUAAUAUAUCGGAACGUGCCCAGUCGUGGGGGAUAACGUAGAGAAAUUUACGCUAAUACCGCAUACGAUCUAAGGAUGAAAGCGGGGGACUCGCAAGGGCCUCGCGCGAUUGGAGCGGCUGAUAUCAGAUUAGGUUGUUGGUGAGGUAAAAGCUCACCAAGCCGACGAUCUGUAGCUGGUUUGAGAGAACGACUAGCCACACUGGGACUGAGACACGGCCCAGACUCCUACGGGAGGCAGCAGUGGGGAAUUUUGGACAAUGGGCGAAAGCCUGAUCCAGCAAUGCCGCGUGCAGGAAGAAGGCCUUCGGGUUGUAAAGCUCUUUCAGGAGGGAAGAAACGGUUACGGAUAAUACCUGUGACUAAUGACGGUACCUUCAGAAGAAGCACCGGCUAACUACGU